UGCGCUGUUUGAGCGGCCGAUAUCUGAUUAGCUAGUUGGUGGGGUAAAGGCCUACCAAGGCGACGAUCUGUAGCGGGUCUGAGAGGAUGAUCCGCCACACUGGGACUGAGACACGGCCCAGACUCCUACGGGAGGCAGCAGUGGGGAAUAUUGCACAAUGGGCGCAAGCCUGAUGCAGCCAUGCCGCGUGUAUGAAGAAGGCCUUCGGGUUGUAAAGUACUUUCAGUCAGGAGGAAG
rnacentral:rRNA from 1 species